GACGAACGCUGGCGGCGUGCUUAACACAUGCAAGUCGAACGGAAAGGCCCUGCUUUUGUGGGGUGCUCGAGUGGCGAACAGGUGAGUAACACGUGAGUAACCUGCCCUUGACUUUGGGAUAACUUCAGGAAGCUGGGGCUAAUACCGGAUAGGAGCUCCUGCUGCAUGGUGGGGGUUGGAAAGUUUCGGCGGUUGGGGAUGGACUCGCGGCUUAUCAGCUUGUUGGUGGGGUAGUGGCUUACCAAGGCUUUGACGGGUAGCCGGCCUGAGAGGGUGACCGGCCACAUUGGGACUGAGAUACGGCCCAGACUCCUACGGGAGGCAGCAGUGGGGAAUAUUGCACAAUGGGCGGAAGCCUGAUGCAGCAACGCCGCGUGCGGGAUGACGGCCUUCGGGUUGUAAACCGCUUUCGCCUGUGACGAAGCGUGAGUGACGGUAAUGGGUAAAGAAGCACCGGCUAACUACGUG
rnacentral:rRNA from 1 species